CCGGAAGCCUCUGACGGGUCCGGCAUGCCGGGGCGGAUGCAACGGCAUCCCACGGCGAAAGACUUGUACCCAUGUUGCUCAACGGAGGAUGUGGCUAUGAGAA
rnacentral:sRNA from 1 species